rnacentral:rRNA from 1 species
AGAGUGAACGCUGGCGGCAGGCCUAACACAUGCAAGUCGAACGGCAGCACGGCAGUAGCAAUACUGUGGGUGGCGAGUGGCGGACGGGUGAGGAAUACAUCGGAAUCUACCUUGUCGUGGGGGAUAACCUCGGGAAACCGGGACUAAUACCGCAUACGAACUAUGGUUGAAAGCGGCGGACCGCAAGGCGUCGCGCGAUUGGAUGAGCCGAUGUCCGAUUAGCUAGUUGGCGGGGUAAAGGCCCACCAAGGCGACGAUCGGUAGCUGGUCUGAGAGGAUGAUCAGCCACACUGGAACUGAGACACGGUCCAGACUCCUACGGGAGGCAGCAGUGGGGAAUAUUGGACAAUGGGGGCAACCCUGAUCCAGCCAUGCCGCGUGUGUGAAGAAGGCCUUCGGUUGUAAAGCACUUUGUUGGGUAGAAAGCACUGGUUAAUACCUUGGUGUCAGUGACGGUACCCAAGAAUAAGCACGCUAACUCGUGCAGCAGCCGUA